UACGGAGGGUGCGAGCGUUAUCCGGAUUUAUUGGGUUUAAAGGGUCCGUAGGCGGAUUAAUAAGUCAGUGGUGAAAUCCUAUCGCUUAACGAUAGAACUGCCAUUGAAACUGUUAGUCUUGAGUGAGGUUGCAGUGGCUGGAAUGUGUAGUGUAGCGGUGAAAUGCUUAGAUAUUACGCAGAACACCAAUUGCGAAGGCAGGUCACUAAUCCUCAACUGACGCUGAUGGACGAAAGCGUGGGGAGCGAAC
rnacentral:rRNA from 1 species